rnacentral:lncRNA from 1 species
AAAUUAUAAAACAAAUUAUAAAAGCUUACAAACAAAAAAAGCUUCCCAAUAUUUGCAACGAACAGGUCUCUUAUGGUUCUAACUUCGAAAUUACAAAUGGAUGAAUCAAUUCGAGACUGCUGCCUUCACAUGUCUCAGGUCACUCUUCUUUCUCUCUCUAUUUAUUAGAAAGUAGCCAUGAAAUCAGAAAUACCCAAAUGCUUAAAUUGAUCUCUUGCUGAUUUGGUUUAUAAUUACUGUUUCAUUUUUGGCGAUAAUAAUAAUAAUAACAGGAGGAUGAUGGAAAAUAGAGCAUGGACUACUCAGUUUGCAGAACUCUAUUCGUAUCUGAAUUUGGAACUUCUAAGUUUGUGAUAAUAGGGUUUUGAUUUUUGAGAAUUUGUUAUUGUUAUUGAUUUAGGCUUUAGAUUUAUGGGUUCGAUCUGUGGUUGAAUUAUAAUUGAUCUCUUGAUGUCUUGAUGUUGAUGGUAGAAUUCAACGAAGGGUUGUUUAAUCGGGAUUGAAGAGGAAGAUGAAGGGGGUGGAUUUUGAUGAAGGAUAUUUUUUUCUUUUAAUUUAAUUGAUGUUAUGUAUUUAUUUAUUAUAAAUAUAUGCUUUAGAU